UGGCCUGCAAAACAGCUAAGGUCCGUCCUGCAACUGCCCUUACUUAGGGCUCCCAACAAGGGUGGGAGGAAGCUGCUCUUCUUCCCUGCAUCUAGUAGGCCAGACGAGGGUGGACCCAGCGGAAAACACUGUAGCCUGCAAAGGACUAUGGAGGCCUGCACUGAGGGGUGAAAGAGUUAGUAGCCUGCGGAGCUGAGGCUUUAAGAAGAACAUCAAAUAUGGCUUCCUUGGAGAUUCAGCCGUCUCGCUAUGAUGCACACAAUAGGUUGGCCCCUAGGCCGAGCCUGACAAUGUGCAGUAGCAGAUAGGCAGCGUGCUAACAGCCCAGCCCAGAGGGAG